AAGAAAGCGUCAAAGCUCACUCAACAUAAAACCCUUAAAUUAGUAUAACUUAUUCUAAACCCUUAAACAAUACUGAGCUGUUCUAUAAACUAUAGAAGCACUUAUGCUAGAACUAGUAAUGUGAAUACACCAUUCUCAUAAUAUGUAAGUGUAAAUCAGAUCGAAUAAAUCACUGAUAAUUAACGGCCUCUCUGAGAUCCCUGCAAUAACAAAACAAGAAAACCAUGCACCCUUUACCGUUAAUCUAACACAAGAACAUUUAAAGAAAGAUUAAAAGACGCAGAAGGAACUCGGCAAACCUAUGAACCCCGCCUGUUUACCAAAAACAUCGCCUCUUGCUAAAAAACAUGUAUAAGAGGUCCAGCCUGCCCAGUGACUAUAUGUUCAACGGCCGCGGUAUUCUGACCGUGCAAAGGUAGCGUAAUCACUUGUCUUUUAAAUAAAGACUGGUAUGAACGGCACCACGAAGGUUCAACUGUCUCCUGCAUCCAAUCCAUUAAACUGACCUCCCCGUGCAGAGGCGGGGAUACAACCAUAAGACGAGAAGACCCUAUGGAGCUUUAAACUAAAGGCAACUGCCAACUUCAACCUAACCCGUAAGGAACUAACAAUUAAACAAGCAGAAAUUGACCUAAAGUUUUCGGUUGGGGCGACCACGGAGAAUAAAAAAUCCUCCUUGAUGAAUAGGGUCUACCACCCUUAACCUAGAAUCACCAUUCUAAGUAACAAAAUUUAUGACUACAAUUGAUCCAGUCUUACUGAUCAACGAACCAAGUUACCCUAGGGAUAACAGCGCAAUCCAUUUCAAAAGUUCCUAUCGACAAAUGGGUUUACGACCUCGAUGUUGGAUCAGGGCAU
rnacentral:rRNA from 1 species